rnacentral:rRNA from 1 species
CCUACGGGCGGCUGCAGUGAGGAAUAUUGGACAAUGGGCGCAAGCCUGAUCCAGCCAUGCCGCGUGCAGGAUGACGGUCCUAUGGAUUGUAAACUGCUUUUAUACGGGAAGAAACCCUCCCACGUGUGGGAGAUUGACGGUACCGUAGGAAUAAGGAUCGGCUAACUCCGUGCCAGCAGCCGCGGUAAUACGGAGGAUCCAAGCGUUAUCCGGAAUCAUUGGGUUUAAAGGGUCCGUAGGCGGCUUUAUAAGUCAGUGGUGAAAUCCGGCAGCUC